rnacentral:misc_RNA from 1 species
UUUCCGUAGGUGAACCUGCGGAAGGAUCAUUAUCGAGUUUACAACUCCCAAACCCCUAUGUGAACGUUACCAAACUGUUGCCUCGGCGGGAAAUUCAUGCCCCGGGCGCGUCGCAGCCCCGGACCAAGGCGCCCGCCGGAGGACCAACCAAAACUCUUUUGUAUGUCCCUCGCGGACUUUUAUAAUUCUGAACCAUCUCGGCGCCCCUAGCGGGCGUUUCGAAAAUGAAUCAAAACUUUCAACAACGGAUCUCUUGGCUCUC